GCGCUCUUAGCUCAGCUGGAUAGAGCGUUGGCCUCCGGAGCCAAAGGUCAGAGGUUCGAAUCCUCUAGGGCGCGCCA
rnacentral:tRNA from 1 species